ACUUAAAUUGAAGAGUUUGAUCAUGGCUCAGAUUGAACGCUGGCGGCAGGCCUAACACAUGCAAGUCGAGCGGAAACGGCAGCAUUGAAG
rnacentral:rRNA from 2 species